rnacentral:rRNA from 1 species
AACGAACGCUGGCGGCAUGCCUAACACAUGCAAGUCGAACGAGACCUUCGGGUCUAGUGGCGCACGUGUGCGUAACGCGUGGGAACCUGCCCUUAGGUUCGGAAUAACUCCCCGAAAGGGGUGCUAAUACCGGAUAAUGUCUUCGCACCAAAGAUUUAUCGCCUUUGGAUGGGCCCGCGUUGGAUUAGCUAGUUGGUAGGGUAAAAGCCUACCAUGGCGACGAUCCAUAGCUGGUCUGAGAGGAUGAUCAGCCACACUGGGACUGAGACACGGCCCAGACUCCUACGGGAGGCAGCAGUGGGGAAUAUUGGACGAUGGGCGAAAGCCUGAUCCAGCAAUGCCGCGUGAGUGAUGAAGGCCUUAGGGUUGUAAAGCUCUUUUACCCGGGAUGAUAAUGACAGUACCGGGAGAAUAAGCACCGGCUAACUCCGUG